rnacentral:rRNA from 1 species
ACCCCGCACAAGCGGUGGAUCAUGUUGUUUAAUUCGAUGAUACGCGAAGAACCUUUACCAGGUCUUGACAUCCCAUGCAAAGCUAUAGAGAUAUAGUGGAGGUUACCAUGGAGACAGGUGGUGCAUGGUUGUCGUCAGCUCGUGUCGUGAGAUGUUGGGUUAAGUCCCGCAACGAGCGCAACCCCUACGUUUAGUUGCUAACGUGUAACGAUGAGCACUCUAGGCGGACUGCCGUUGACAAAACGGAGGAAGGUGGGAUGACGUCAAAUCAUCAUGCCCCUUAUGUUCUGGGCUACACACGUGCUACAAUGGCCGGUACAAAGGGACGCAAAGCCGCGAGGUGGAGCAAAUCCGAUAAAAGCCGGUCUCAGUUCGGAUUGCAGGCUGCAAUUCGCCUGCAUGAAGUCGGAAUCGCUAGUAAUCGCAGGUCAGCAUACUGCGGUCGAAUACGUUCCCGGGCCUU